GAUGAACGCUGGCGGCGUGCCUAAUACAUGCAAGUCGAGCGAACAGACGAGGAGCUUGCUCCUCUGACGUUAGCGGCGGACGGGUGAGUAACACGUGGAUAACCUACCUAUAAGACUGGGAUAACUUCGGGAAACCGGAGCUAAUACCGGAUAAUAUAUUGAACCGCAUGGUUCAAUAGUGAAAGACGGUUUUGCUGUCACUUAUAGAUGGAUCCGCGCCGCAUUAGCUAGUUGGUAAGGUAACGGCUUACCAAGGCGACGAUGCGUAGCCGACCUGAGAGGGUAAUCGGCCACACUGGAACUGAGACACGGUCCAGACUCCUACGGGAGGCAGCAGUAGGGAAUCUUCCGCAAUGGGCGAAAGCUUGACGGAGCAACGCCGCGUGAGUGAUGAAGGUCUUCGGAUCGUAAAACUCUGUUAUUAGGGAAGAACAAAUGUGUAAGUAACUAUGCACGUCUUGACGGUACCUAAUCAGAAAGCCACGGCUAACUACGU
rnacentral:rRNA from 1 species